AUUGAACGCUGGCGGCAGGCCUAACACAUGCAAGUCGAACGAGUGGCGGACGGGUGAGUAAUGUCUGGGAAACUGCCUGAUGGAGGGGGAUAACUACUGGAAACGGUAGCUAAUACCGCAUACCAUCGGAUGUGCCUAGAUGGGAUUAGCUAGUAGGUGGGGUAAAGGCUCACCUAGGCUACGAUCCCUAGCUGGUCUGAGAGGAUGACCAGCGACACGGGAACUGAGACACGGUCCAGACUACUACGGGAGGCAGCAGUGGGGAAUAUUGCACAAUGGGCGCAAGCCUGAAGCAGCCAUGCCGCGUGUAUGAAGAAGGCCUUAGGGUUGUAAAGUACUUUCCGCGGAGAGGCGUUACCCACAGAAGAAGCACCGGCUAACUCCGUGCCAGCAGCCGCGGUAAUUC
rnacentral:rRNA from 1 species